rnacentral:rRNA from 1 species
AUUGAACGCUGGCGGCAUGCCUUACACAUGCAAGUCGAACGGCAGCGGACCUUCGGGUGCCGGCGAGUGGCGAACGGGUGAGUAAUAUAUCGGAACGUACCUUUCAGUGGGGGAUAACGUAGCGAAAGUUACGCUAAUACCGCAUAUUCUGUGAGCAGGAAAGCAGGGGAUCGCAAGACCUUGCGCUGAUUGAGCGGCCGAUAUCAGAUUAGCUAGUUGGUUGAGGUAAAGGACUCACCAACGGCGACGAUCUGUAGCGGGUCGUGAGAGGAUGAUCCGCCACACUGGAACUGAGACACGGUCCAGACUCCUACGGGAGGCGAGC